rnacentral:rRNA from 1 species
GAAAGGGUAGCUAAUACGGGAUAUUCUGGCCUUCCUGCAUGGGUUGGUUUGGAAAGGUUGUUUUUCUGGUAAGGGAUGGGCUCGCGGCCUAUCAGCUUGUUGGUGGGGUGAUGGCCUACCAAGGCUUUGACGGGUAGCCGGCCUGAGAGGGUGGACGGUCACACUGGGACUGAGAUACGGCCCAGACUCCUACGGGAGGCAGCAGUGGGGAAUAUUGCACAAUGGGCGCAAGCCUGAUGCAGCGACGCCGCGUGAGGGAUGAAGGCCUUCGGGUUGUAAACCUCUUUCGUCAGGGAACAAGGCACCGUCUUUUGGUGGUGUUGAGGGUACCUGGAUAAGAAGCGCCGGCUAACUACGUGCCAGCAGCCGCGGUAAUACGUAGGGCGCAAGCGUUGUCCGGAAUUAUUGGGCGUAAAGAGCUCGUAGGCGGCUGGUCGCGUCUGUCGUGAAAACUUCCGGCUCAACCGGGGGCUUGCGGUGGGUACGGGCCGGCUAGAGUGCGGUAGGGGU